rnacentral:lncRNA from 1 species
CCCGCGCUGCAUCCACGUCGACACGAGCCAGUGCUGCCCGCAGUGCAAGGAGAGGAAGAACUACUGCGAAUUCCGGGGCAAGACCUACCAGACUCUGGAGGAGUUCGUGGUGUCUCCGUGUGAGCGUUGCCGCUGCGAAGCCAACGGGGAGGUGCUCUGCACAGUGUCCGCGUGUCCUCAGACGGAGUGUGUGGACCCCGUGUACGAGCCUGACCAGUGCUGCCCCAUCUGCAAAAACGGCCCAAACUGCUUUGCGGAAACGGCUGUCAUCCCAGCUGGAAGAGAAGUCAAGACUGACGAAUGUACCAUAUGUCACUGCACUUACGAAGAAGGCACGUGGAGGAUUGAGAGACAGGCCAUGUGCACGAGGCACGAGUGCAGACAAAUGUAGAAAUGGGACCACACACACACACACACACACACACAAACAGACAUUUUUCUAGAAUAUUUUACUGAUGGGAACAUUCUAGAUGACUCUGGGGAAUAGCAUUCAACAGGAGAAGACUUUGGAUGAGGGUCAUGGAACAUGGUUGGUACUUUUGCAUUUCUUGGUGAAGAGUUACUGCAAAAGAAGGAAAUGGGUAUAUUUCAAAACAUCCACAAGAAUUUUGGGCAUAAACCCCCUCUCUAAAUAAAUGUGCUAUUUUCACAGUAAGUGCA